UACGUAGGGUGCAAGCGUUAAUCGGAAUUACUGGGCGUAAAGCGUGCGCAGGCGGUUGUGCAAGACAGAUGUGAAAUCCCCGGGCUCAACCUGGGAAUUGCAUUUGUGACUGCACGGCUAGAGUGUGUCAGAGGGGGGUAGAAUUCCACGUGUAGCAGUGAAAUGCGUAGAGAUGUGGAGGAAUACCGAUGGCGAAGGCAGCCCCUGGGAUAACACUGACGCCUGCUGCACGAAAGCGUGGGGAGCAAACAGG
rnacentral:rRNA from 1 species